rnacentral:rRNA from 1 species
CAGUAGCCGCGGGAAUACGGAGGGUGCAAGCGUUAAUCGGAAUUACUGGGCGUAAAGCGUGCGUAGGCGGUUUGUUAAGUCUGCUGUGAAAUCCCCGGGCUCAACCUGGGAAUGGCAGUGGAUACUGGCAAGCUAGAGUGUGUCAGAGGAUGGUGGAAUUCCCGGUGUAGCGGUGAAAUGCGUAGAGAUCGGGAGGAACAUCAGUGGCGAAGGCGGCCAUCUGGGACAACACUGACGCUGAGGCACGAAAGCGUGGGGAGCAAACAGGAUUAGAUACCCGGGUAGUCCCUGUCUCUUAUAC